rnacentral:rRNA from 1 species
GACGAACGCUGGCGGCGUGCUUAACACAUGCAAGUCGAACGGAAAGGCCCUGCUUUUGUGGGGUGCUCGAGUGGCGAACGCGUGAGUAACACGUGAGUAACCUGCCCUUGACUUUGGGAUAACUCCAGGAAACUGGGGUUAAUACCGGAUAGGAGCUCUUGCUGCAUGGUGGGGGUGGGAAAGUUGCGGCGGUGCGGGGUGGACUCGCGGCUUAUCAGUUUGUUGGUGGGGUAGUGGCUUACCAAGGCUUUGACGGGUAGCCGGCCUGAGAGGGUGACCGGCCACAUUGGGACUGAGAUAGGGCCCAGAGUCCUACGGGAGGCAGCAGUGGGGAAUAUUGCGCAAUGGGCGGAGGCCUGAUGCAGCAACGCCGCGUGCGGGAUGACGGCCUUCGGGUUGUAAACCGCUUUCGCCUGUGACGAAGCGUGAGUGACGGUAAUGGGUAAAGAAGCACCGGCUAACUACGUG